rnacentral:rRNA from 1 species
GUCUAUGGCCAUGCUACCCUGAACAAGCCUGAUCCCAUCUGAUCUAUGAAGCUAAAUAGGGUCAAGCCUGGUUAGUAGUUGGAUGGAAGACCACCUAGGAAGACCAGGUGCUGUAGGCA